rnacentral:tRNA from 1 species
GCCAGCGUAGCUCAGCUGGUAGAGCAGCAGUUUUGUAAACUGUUGGUCGUGGGUUCGAAUCCCUCCGCUGGCUCCA